GGAUGUGAGGGUGAUCUGGCUGUGACGUAUGUCACCCCACUGAUCCCUAGGGUUGAUUUGGUUGAUCUAACUGGCUAAGUGGGUAUCCCCUUCAUCCCUCACUGCUCCAUGUGUGUCCUCCUGAAGCUGCAUGCUCAGUUGAAGAGGAUGACCAUUCCUGCUAGAGGAGGACUGUUCUUCAGUCAAGGGCAGAUGAGUAGCUGUACUCCCCUGCUAAAACCUCCAAACAAGCUCUCAAGGCCCAUAAAAUCCUACUGAUUCUGUCACAAAUUAAUGUGUUCCAUAAAAUUUUUGACAUUCUAUAUUUGUAU
rnacentral:snRNA from 1 species